AUGAAUUUUCAGUUUCUAAUAUGUAGUGUUGUUAUUUCGGAGAUUUUCUAUUGUGUUUCAGUUGGGCACUUCUCCACGCUUGUUCCUCACUCUACAACGGCGUGUGACAUAGUGUAUCGUAGCAAAAACUAUGUUUAUGAUUGUCUGAACUCUGUUUGCUUAAGAGAUUUGCUUACACAGUACUUAAGUGGCGCGGGGGGCAUACCGCAGGGCAGUAUAAAGUGUACACAACGAGUAGCUGCUUUAGUGCCUACCACCAUUGUUGUCGAUUCAAAAAGAAUAGCAUUUUGCAUCUGCAUCCGAUGCGGUGGUGUUGCUGAAUCCGCCAGGAGUGGCACAGCCGGCGGAUUCAAGUCAUCUGCCUCUUCAUCCGUGGACUCUGCGCCGAAUGCAUGGAGACACAGCUGGCUGCAGUCAUCUGCCUCUUCAUCCGACUCUGCGCCGAACGCAUGGAGACACAGCUGCCGGCUCAAGUCGACGGAGUCAUGGGAGAGGUAA
rnacentral:rRNA from 1 species